rnacentral:rRNA from 1 species
AACGAACGCUGGCGGCAUGCCUAACACAUGCAAGUCGAACGAGACCUUCGGGUCUAGUGGCGCACGGGUGCGUAACGCGUGGGAACCUGCCCUUAGGUUCGGAAUAACUCCCCGAAAGGGGUGCUAAUACCGGAUAAUGUCUUCGGACCAAAGAUUUAUCGCCUUUGGAUGGGCCCGCGUUGGAUUAGCUAGUUGGUAGGGUAAAAGCCUACCAAGGCGACGAUCCAUAGCUGGUAUGUGAGGAUGAUCAGCCACACUGGGACUGAGACACGGCCCAGACUCCUACGGGAGGCAGCAGUGGGGAAUAUUGGACAAUGGGCGAAAGCCUGAUCCAGCAAUGCCGCGUGAGUGAUGAAGGCCGUAGAGUUGUAAAGCUCUUUUACCCGGGAUGAUAAUGACAGUACCGGGAGAAUAAGCUCCGGCUAACUCCGUG